GUUACAGUGAUUAUGGUAGAUGGCCAUAUGGAGAGUGUUACAGUGAUUAUGGUAGAUGGCCAUAGGGAGAGUGUUACAGUAAUUAUGGUAGAUGGCCAUAGGGAGAGUGUUACAGUGAUUAUGGUAGCCAUAGGGAGAGUGUUACAGUGAUUAUGGUAGAUGGCCAUAUGGAGAGUGUUACAGUGAUUAUGGUAGCCAUAGGGAGAGUGUUACAGUGAUUAUGGUAGAUGGCCAUAUGGAGAGUGUUACAGUGAUUAUGGUAG